AUUCCAGCUCCAAUAGCGUAUAUUAAAGUUGUUGCAGUUAAAAAGCUCGUAGUUGGAUUUCUGGCCGAGUGUCCCCAGGCCAGCAUGACGUUUGGUCCUGGGCGCUCUGCCAUCCUUCUGUCAACCUUCGCCUCGUUCAUUCGUGGCGCUGGGGCUCAGAUAUUUUACCUUGAGAAAAUUAGAGUGUUUCAGGCAGGCUUUCGCCGGAAUACAUUAGCAUGGAAUAAUGGAAAAGGACUUCAACCUCUUCUGUUGGUCUGAGAGGCUGUAGUAAUGAUUAAUAGGGAUAGUUGGGGCAUUAGUACUUAACUGUCAGAGGUGAAAUUCUCCGAUUUGUUAAAGACUAACUUAUGCGAAAGCAUUUGCCAAGGAUGUUUUCAUUA
rnacentral:rRNA from 1 species